rnacentral:rRNA from 1 species
UACGUAGGGACCAAGCGUUGUUCGGAUUUACUGGGCGUAAAGGGCGCGUAGGCGGCGCGGUAAGUCACUUGUGAAAUCUCUGAGCUUAACUCAGAACGGCCAAGUGAUACUGCAGUGCUAGAGUGUGGAGGGGGCAAUCGGAAUUCUUGGUGUAGCGGUGAAAUGCGUAGAUAUCAAGAGGAACACCGAUGGCGAAGGCAGGUCACUGGGCCGCAACUGACGCUGAGGAGCGAAAGCAUGGGGAGCGAACAGG